rnacentral:rRNA from 1 species
AUGCUACAUGGUCUACGCUAUCUUGAGCUAUUGAAGGCUUUUGAAUGGAAGAGGCUGGAUUUUUACGCAGGGUCAUUUCCGAAACUUGGUUAUCUAAGGAUAUGGGUUGCAGCACAGCUCAACCAAGUUGCAGUAGAGGAGGGCGCGAUGCAAAACCUUGUCGAGCUAUGGUUCGAAGACUGUCCUGAGCUAAAGUUUCUUCCUGAUGGCAUCGAACACCUUGCAGCCCUUGAGAAAUUGCAUUUGCUGGACACAUCAGAAGAGUUGAUAGAGAAGCUCCGACAGAACAGAGAUUCAGAUGAAUGCGGCGAUGUAAUGAAGAUUAACCACACAAGGAAAUGUUACAGUUGCACUGUCAUAGAAAGGACUUUGGGAAAGGGUUAG